rnacentral:rRNA from 1 species
GACGAACGCUGGCGGCGUGCCUAAUACAUGCAAGUCGAGCGCUGAAGGGUGGUGCUUGUACCUACUGGAUGAGCGGCGAACGGGUGAGUAACGCGUGGAGAAUCUGCCUUUGAGCGGGGGACAACUUUGGGAAACGAAUGCUAAUACCGCAUAAAAACUUUAAACACAAGGUUCAAGAUUGAAAGAUGCAAUUGCAUCAAUCAAAGAUGAUCCCGCGUUGGAUUAGCUAGGUGGUGAGGUAAAGGCCCACCAAGGCGAUGAUAGCUAGCCGGACCGGGAAGGUGGACCGCCACAAUGGGACUGAGACCCGGGCCAAGCUCCUACGGGGAGCCGCAGUAGGGAAUCUUCGGCAAUGGGCGGAAGGCUGACCGGGCAACGCCGGCGGAGUGAAGAAGGUUUUCGGAUCGUAAAACUCUGUUGAUAGGGAAGAACGAUAGUGGGAGGUAAAAGCGCAUAACGUGACGGUAACUACUCAGAAAGGCACGGCUAACUACGUG